UACGGGGGGGGCAAGCGUUGUUCGGAUUUACUGGGCGUAAAGGGCGCGGUAGGCGGUCAGCACAAGUCAGUUGUGAAAUCUCCGGGCUUAACUCGGAAAGGUCAACUGAUACUGUGCGACUAGAGUGCAGAAGGGGCAACUGGAAUUCUCGGUGUAGCGGUGAAAUGCGUAGAUAUCGAGAGGAACACCUGCGGCGAAGGCGGGUUGCUGGGCUGACACUGACGCUGAUGCGCGAAAGCCAGGGGAGCGAACGGG
rnacentral:rRNA from 1 species